rnacentral:rRNA from 1 species
GUGGGGAAUCUUGCGCAAUGGGCGAAAGCCUGACGCAGCCAUGCCGCGUGAAUGAUGAAGGUCUUAGGAUUGUAAAAUUCUUUCACCGGGGACGAUAAUGACGGUACCCGGAGAAGAAGCUCCGGCUAACUUCGUGCCAGCAGCCGCGGUAAUACGAAGGGGGCUAGCGUUGCUCGGAAUUACUGGGCGUAAAGGGCGCGUAGGCGGACAGCUUAGUCAGAGGUGAAAGCCCAGGGCUCAACCUUGGAAUUGCCUUUGAUACUGGCUGUCUUGAGUUUGGGAGAGGUGAGUGGAACUCCGAGUGUAGAGGUGAAAUUCGUAGAUAUUCGGAAGAACACCAGUGGCGAAGGCGACUCACUGGCCCGUUACUGACGCUGAGGCGCGAAAGCGUGGGGAGCAAACAGGAUUAGAAACCCUGGUGUCC